UUCUAUUUGUUGAGGACAGAUAAAAUGAAUGUGAGAAUCUAUGCCGCCUGCGGUCAGAAUUAAACCUUCCCCAGCGAUCGCUUCGGUACCAGGUCCGAUAAUAAUAUCCACAUUGUCUUGAAUGUAGGGAUUUCCCGCUUUGCCAAUCUUAAAAAUUUUGCCGUCCUUGAUGCCCACAUCAGCUUUGACAAUACCCCACCAAUCUAAAAUUAAGGCAUUGGUAAUUACCGCAUCCACAGCCCCGUCCGCAUUGGUAAUCGGUGAUUGUCCCAUGCCAUCCCGAA
rnacentral:sRNA from 1 species